AUACAUGCUUAAUUAUAUUUGAACUCUUAAGAUUGAUAAAAUGCAUUAAGUGCAGAAUUUGAAUUGCAUAAAGUAAACCCUAACUCAUCAGAACCUUGUGAGUAUUAUUUGUUUUUCGUUACUCAAAAAGGGAUUCCAAUUGAAACCUCGCUUAGGGUUUAUCGUAGGUAUUUGCAGUAUGUUCCCAAUCAUAUUGAGGAUUUUAUUCAGUUUUUGAUUAAUUCAAGUCUUUGGCAAGAGUCUGCUGAGAGGUUGGUCGGUUGUGGACUUUGCUUGCUGAGUAUUAUAUUAGGAAGGGUUAGCACGAGAAGGCUAGAGAUGUGUUUGAGGAGGGUAUGUCGACUGUUAUUACUGUGAGGGAUUUUAGUGUUAUAUUUGAUUCGUACUUGCAAUUUGAAGAGAGUAUGCUUGCUUAUAAGAUGGAGGAUAUGGAUAUGAGUGACGAAGAAGAUGAAGACCUCAUACUUUAUGGGUGGCUUUUGCAAAGCUUUACGAGGAGCACACCGAUCUUGCCAAUGCUCGAGUUAUUUUUGACAAGGCAGUGCAGGUGAACUACAAAACUGUGGACAAUCUGGCUAGUGUUUGGUGUGAGUGGGCUGAACUAGAGUUGAAACAUGAGAAUUUCAAAGGAGCACUUGAGCUAAAGAGGCGGGCUACCGCAGAGCCAUCAGUUGAGGUCAAACGAAAAGUGGCUGCUGAUGGGAAUCAACCAGUUCAGAUGAAGCUGCAUAAAUAUUUGAGAUUGUGGACCUUUUAUGUUGAUUUGGAGGAAAGUCUAGGUAGUUUGGAGUCUACUCGUUUAUAAAAUUCCAUUGUGUUAUAUCCGCCAAAAAGUUAUUGAUCUUAAUCUUUCCCUUCUUUUUUUUUUUUUUUUUAUAAUUUAUUUUCUGUUCAUUUAAUUGUUUUAUUAAGUUGGUUUCCUGAUUUUGAACUCUUAAGAUUGAUAAAAUGUAUUAAGUGCAGAAUUUGAAUUGCAUAAAGUAAAGUAAUCCAUGUCUGAUCCAUUCUACAUCUCUUGAGUUGAGUUGAGAUCUAAGUGCUUCAAGUUGUAUUAUCUCACUACUGAGUGUUAUCCCUCUUUUGUUAUUGUGAGGAAGUCAAAUUUGACUUAAAGAGUGUAUAACUUGGUGUUUUGACUUUGAUGUUAUCAUACUAACCUUAUUGCAUAGCUGAAACUGCAGUCCUUAGUUAACGCAUGCACUGAAUGCAGCAUAUGUGUUAUUGUUGAAAAGAGAAGAUUGGCCUCCCAAAGUUUUAUUUGGCAGUCUCUCCUUCCCCCGUUAACAGAUCCUGAGCUCGGUGCUGGCAAACCAAAUUCCUCAUUUUUUUUAGCUCAAAUGCAUUUUCUAUUCCUACAUUCUUACAUCUGAAUCUGUCCAGUCAUAUUUUCUUUUUUCUUUUUCUACAGUGUUGUUCUAAAGAUCUGCAAAAUUAAGGCACUCAUUGGCAACUGCUAUGUUCCUACAAACCCUCAAGUUGAACCAUCGAGGUAGAAGAUAAUCCUUUGUUUUUUGAUCCAUUACUAUUGCAGCUCCAUCUGCAGUGCAAUAUUGUGAGAUCAAUUCACCCCCUCUUGAGUUGCUUAGCCGUUUCGGGUAACCAAUCCAUCUAAUGUAUUGAGUCUCAACUCCAAAGCUCUCAACAUAAAUGAAGUCAUGAACCAGAAAACAUGAACAAACUCAGCCAAUCAUUAAAGUCUGGAUUUGGAUUACUUGCGGCCAAGAUUCGCCAUAUUCUAGCAUGCAGAACAUUGGUGACUGUUGGAUCAAGAUUUGACGGUCUACAAAAGGAAAUUUUUCACACCAAGUUUAACUCAAGGAGAAGAGAGCCAGUUUUUGAUACUGACAAAACGUUGGACAUCAAGAGAUAUUCCCAUUUAGGGUUGUCUUAAAUGCUCAAUAAUGAACGUAUAGUUAUUUAUGUUGAUCAAUUUUUCAUAAAACUAAAAUCGUUCUUACAACAAAAAUUAGAUGUAGGUACCAAUUCUCAUCCUAUCUACACAGUCCAUAAAUUUUGAUGGUGGUGUGGCUUUAGUCGAUGGGUUAACAAUCAUCAAUUCAAAAU